rnacentral:rRNA from 1 species
GAUGAACGCUGGCGGCGUGCCUAAUACAUGCAAGUCGAGCGAACGGACGAGAAGCUUGCUUCUGUGAUGUUAGCGGCGGACAGGUGAGUAACAAGUGGAUAACCACCCUAUAAGACCGGGAUAACUUCGGGAAACCGGAGCGACUAACGGAUAAUAUUUUGAACCGCAUGGUUCAAAAGUGAAAGACGGUCUUGCUGUCACUUAUAGAUGGAUCCGCGCUGCAUUAGCUAGUUGGUAAGGUAACGGCUUACCAAGGCGACGAUGCAUAGCCGACCUGAGAGGGUGGUCGACGACACGGGAAGUGAGACGCGGUGCAGACUCCUACGAGAGGCAGCAGCAGGGAAUCUUCCGGAAUGGGCGGAAGCCGGCCGGAGCAACGCCGCGUGAGGGAUGAAGGUCGUCGGAUCGUAAUAAUCCGUUAUUGGGGAAGAACAUAUGUGGAAGUGACUGUGCGCAUCUUGACGGUACCUAAACAGAAAGCCACGGCUAACUACGUG